AAAAAACGUGAGUAAGCUCCAUCUUUCUCCAUUCUAACAAACAAAAAGACCCAAAGCAUGAAAAAUAAGAACCCUAGAAUUGGCUAGAACAACCGUUUUCACCCAUUCUCUAUCUUCUCUUCUUUUUAUUUUUCGAAAUACUCCAUCUUCUCUUCAAAUCUUAGUUCUCCUUCGUCACUGGAUUUUCUCAACCGCUCAAGCAUCUACUCCAUUCUUUGUCUUCUCAACUCAAGUGGGAAAUGUUAGGAGAAGUUAUUGGUUUACUUUUGGAUUUUGUACAAUGCUCCUUGGAGCCUAGGUUACAUGGACACUUCAUUCAACUGCCGUGUCCGUGUCGGACACCGUGUCACCGACACUCGUGGGACGCACGACAAUACUUCUCGGACCAUAUCCUACUAUUAUAUGGGUUGUUCAACUUUUUUUAAUGAGAAAAUGUAAUUAAAGUAAGAUAAAUAAGGUAAUUGUUAAAUAACAUGGGUGCCUUCAUAUA